UACGGAGGAUGCAAGCGUUAUCCGGAAUGAUUGGGCGUAAAGCGUCCGCAGGCGGCAAUGUAAGUCUGCUGUCAAAGCGUCUGGCUCAACCAGAUACAGGCAGUGGAAACUACAUAGCUAGAGUAAGGUAGGGGUAGAGGGAAUUCCUGGUGUAGCGGUGAAAUGCGUAGAGAUCAGGAAGAACACCGGUGGCGAAGGCGCUCUGCUGGACCGUAACUGACACUGAGGGACGAAAGCUAGGGGAGCGAAUGGG
rnacentral:rRNA from 1 species